GCCUGGGUGGUGCAGUGGGUUAAGCACCUGAUUCUUUACCUCGGCUCAGGUCAUGAUCUCACGGUUGGUGGGUUCGAACCCCACUUCAGGCC
rnacentral:tRNA from 1 species